rnacentral:misc_RNA from 1 species
AGCAGCCGCGGUAAUUCCAGCUCCAAUAGCGUAUAUUAAAGUUGUUGCAGUUAAAAGCUCGUAGUUGAAUUUCGGGAUCAAUUUAUUGGUCGUGCAAUAGUACGUACUGGUAUUAUUGGUUCCUACCUUCUGAUGAACCAUGAUGUCAUUAAUUUGGUGUUAUGGGGAAUCAGGACUGUUACUUUGAAAAAUUGAGUGUUUAAAGCAGGCUCACGCUUGAAUACAUUAGCAUGGAAUAAUGAAAUAGGACGUUUGAUUCUAUUUUGUUGGUUUCUAGGAUCGACGUAAUGAUUAAUAGGGAUAGUUGGGGGCAUUAGUAUUCAAUUGUCAGAGGUGAAAUUCCUGGAUUUAUUGAAGACUAACUACUGCGAAAGCAUUUGCCAAGGAUGUUUCAUUAAUCAAGAACGAAAGUUAAGGGAUCGAAGACGAUCAGAUACCGUCGUAGUCUUAACCAUAAACUAUAGACCGACUAGGGAUCGGAUGAUGUUAAUUUUUAAUGUAAGUC